rnacentral:rRNA from 1 species
GAUGAACGCUGGCGGCGUGCCUAAUACAUGCAAGUCGAGCGAACGGACGAGGAGCUUGCUUCUCUGAUGUUAGCGGCGGACGGGUGAGUAACACGUGGAUAACCUACCUAUAAGACUGGGAUAACUUCGGGAAACCGUAGCUAAUACCGGAUAAUAUUUUGAACCGCAUGGUUCAAAAGUGAAAGACGGUCUUGCUGUCACUUAUAGAUGGAUCCGCGCUGCAUUAGCUAGUUGGUAAGGUAACGGCUUACCAAGGCAACGAUGCGUAGCCGACCUGAGAGGGUGAUCGGCCACACUGGAACUGAGACACGGUCCAGACUCCUACGGGAGGCAGCAGUAGGGAAUCUUCCGCAAUGGGCGAAAGCCUGACGGAGCAACGCCGCGUGAGUGAUGAAGGUCUUCGGAUCGUAAAACUCUGUUAUUAGGGAAGAACAUAUGUGUAAGUAACUGUGCACAUCUUGACGGUACCUAAUCAGAAAGCCACGGCUAACUACGUG